GCCGCGCCGGCCGCCCCAUCCCCUCCCCGGCGGGUCUCGGGAGGGGGCAGACAACGACCACCCCCUACCACCGCCGCCCGCGCACACCGAGGGGCGCGGCGGCCGUUGGGGCCGACCCCGCCCCGCCGCGCCUCGCCUCGGCGGCGUCGCCCCGCGGCGCGUGCGCCCGCGUUGCCCGCCUGUUGCCCGCCUGGGCCGGCGGCUCGGUCGCCGAGGAGAGGGGAAGGUGGGAGACCGAGGUGGGUGGCCAGCCCUGGGAGCCGCGCUUGUUUUCGCCUCCCAAGGGCUGGUGAGAGGUCGGGGCUCAAGCCCGGUUCCGUCUCGGGGGUGCCCAGACUGCCGGAGUUGCUGUGCUGAUAAACGGGGGAAGGGUCUGUCAGAAAAGACCCCGAUAAAGCAAGUCAGGAACUGCAAGAGUUGGAUGGCGUCUUGUCAAACUGCGCCUCGCAAUAGGCGAAGAGCGGCUUCUGGCCCUGUUGAAAAAAAUGACCGCUGCACGUGUCUCAGGAAAAAAACUAAGGGCAGUCCGUUUUCUAACGUUUACAGGAACAUUGUUUCCAACCUGAUUCUUCAUAAGGAGAGCAGCUGUGGGUGAUGUGCUACCAGAUUUUCCGUAGAUGUCUAUUCUGUUAAGUUCAAGAACAAUGCAACUACAUUGUCAUUGCUCAUCUAGCACCACUGCAUACCAGAGUGAAUUCCAAUGCGAAUCCAAACAGGCAGGCCUGGCAGAUGUCGCAGUUCAAAGGAUCCCAUGAAGCUGAGGAUGUCCAGAGCCAUCAUAGAGAUGUCUACUGCAUGGCGAUUGCCAUUCCUCUUCGGUAAACCACUCGCCACCAUGUAGGCAUCACCAAUUGUCUCAACCUGUGGUGGAAACACAACUAAAAGUUGCCAACUCCAUACACAGCAAAACAAAUUUACAAAUUAACAAAUUUAGUUAAAAAGUUAUCAGAUCCUCUUGUCCCUGGCUAAGUAUGUCUUCCCUAACCAGCAAGAUUGCUUCAUUUAAGAUAGUUGACACCUUUUUCAGUAUAUGAGUAUGCAUAACUGUACACAGCAUUCCAAGUAAUGAAUCUUUGACCAUCUAGUAUAGAAAAUUAGCUAUAAGCAGGCACACAAGCAUUGCUAUGAGGUAAUCUUGACCUGUUUGUAUCUCUUUUGUCUUUGCUUGUCUUUGCUAGUGCUGAGGUAUCCUUCCCAAACCCACCACAUUAUCCAGUUUUGAUUUCUGUGUCCCCUGAUUGUUAAUUAAGCAAAAGUGAGAAGCUAAUCACCUUGUAAACGUCAUGAUGGUCAAGAAUGUGGUCGAAGUUCUUGUAGAUAUCAUUGAGCAUAUCUACCACCUCCAUUGGGGUGCUGUACUUGCAGAGUGUGGUGAAACCAACAAUGUCACUGAAGUAGAUAGUGACUUCUUCAAAUAGCUCUGGCUCUACCAGGCCAGUUUCCUUCAAAGAUUUUACUACUGGCCUAUAGGUAUAGAGAAGGCAGAAAGAUGGAUGAAUAGUCUGUGUUUUACAUUAAAGGAAUUUUCUCACACAA